AGAGCUAAACUGCAAACUGGGAGCUGGCAAGACAGGACAGGUCUGUGCCGGGCAGGCAUUCAUCAGGCGGAACCUCACGCGUCGAGACAGGGGCGAGCUAGGUAGAGUGGAAGGGAGGGAGGAAGAGAGAAAAACAUCAAUGUGAGAGAGACAUAUCAAUUUGUUGUCUCCUGCAUCACCCUGACUGUGGCCAGGGAUUGAACCUGCAACCCAGAACCUGUUAAGAGACCAUUUGUAGUAAAAAAAAACAUUGAACUCGGAGCCCAGACCCACCUCCUUAUUAAUUUGGUAUUGUGCAAGUCAUCUUACUUCUCUAGAUCUCAGUUACCUCAUCUGUGAACAGGAGAUAAAAAUUCUUAACUUAUCUGAAGAUGAGGUGGAGGACCGUCCUACUGCAAUAUUGUUUCCUUUUGGUUACGUGUCUACUUACUACUCUUGAGGCUGUGCCUAUAGACAUAGACAAGACAAAAGUAAAAAAUACUCACCCUGUGGACAGUGCAAAGAUAGAACCACCAGAUACUGGACUUUAUUAUGAUGAAUAUCUCAAGCAAGUGAUUGAUGUGCUGGAAACAGAUAAUCAUUUCAGAGAAAAGCUCCAGAAAGCAGACAUAGAGGAAAUAAAGAGUGGGAGGCUAAGCAAAGAGCUGGAUUUAGUAAGUCACCAUGUGAGGACAAAACUUGAUGAACUGAAAAGGCAAGAAGUAGGAAGGUUAAGAAUGCUAAUUAAAGCUAAAUUGGAUUCCCUUCAAGAUACGGGCAUAGACUACCAUGCUCUUCUAAAACAAUUUGAUCACCUAAACCACAUGAAUCCUGACAAGUUUGAAUCUACAGACUUAGAUAUGCUAAUCAAAGCAGCUACAAGUGAUCUGGAAGACUAUGAUAAGACUCGACAUGAAGAAUUUAAAAAAUAUGAAAUGAUGAAAGAACAUGAAAGGAGAGAAUAUUUAAAAACACUGAAUGAAGAAAAGAGAAAAGAAGAAGAAUCUAAAUAUGAAGAAAUGAAGAAAAAGCAUGAAAAUCACCCAAAAGUUAAUCAUCCAGGAAGCAAAGAUCAGCUAAAAGAGGUAUGGGAAGAGACUGAUGGAUUGGAUCCUAAUGAUUUUGACCCCAAGACAUUUUUCAAAUUACACGAUGUCAAUAAUGAUGGCUUCCUUGAUGAACAAGAAUUAGAAGCCCUAUUUACUAAAGAGUUGGAGAAAGUAUAUGACCCCAAAAAUGAAGAGGAUGAUAUGGUAGAAAUGGAGGAGGAAAGGCUUAGAAUGAGGGAACAUGUAAUGAAUGAGGUUGAUUCUAACAAAGAUCGAUUGGUGACUCUAGAAGAGUUUUUGAAAGCUACAGAAAAAAAGGAAUUCUUGGAGCCGGAUAGCUGGGAGACAUUAGAUCAGCAACAGUUCUUCACAGAGGAAGAACUGAAAGAAUACGAAAAUCUUAUCUCCUUACAAGAAAAUGAACUUAAGAAAAAAGCAGAUGAGCUUCAGAAACAAAAAGAAGAGCUACAGCGUCAGCAUGAUCAACUAGAGGCUCAGAAGCUGGAAUAUCAUCAGGUCAUCCAGCAGAUGGAACAGAAAAAAUUACAAGAGAUUUCUCCAUCGGGGCCUGGUGGGGAAUCGAAGUUUGAGCCACUUAUUUAAAGUCCGAAGUCCACCAGAACUUGGAAGAAAACUGUAAAAUCAACACCUGUGUCAUCUUUUUACCUCCCUUCCUUUUCUCUACUCAAUAAAUAUUUUAAAGCAUAUAUGGAAUAAAGGAAGAUACUUUUAAAACAAGAAUACAUAUUAUUUUUGGACACAGAUAUUUAAAGAUUGAAGUCCACCAGUACCAGGAAGAAAACCUCAAUAUCUGCUCUCACUUUCUUGCCUCCCCUUUCUUUUCUUUGUUCUCCUUUAGUGAUUUAAUCAAGUGGCCGUGGGCCAUAAUCUAAUGAAACUAUCAGUAACUACUUAAGUGAGAAAACUCUGUCUGUUGCUUUUAAAAUAAAUUGCUCUCACUUACUCAUGAAGAUAGAUAUUCUUUUAUGGGUGCUUAUCAUCUCGUCUCUCAAGGAAAGUCUCUUAGAUAUUCACAGUUCUCCUCCUGAGAAGACCAUUGUAUUCCUCAGUGUUCCUUGGUUAACUUCUCCCUACUUUCAGCACCAUUAACUGCUAGAAAUUCUUCUACUGAAUAGCUUUUGCUACCACUUUAGGUCAUUUUUCAUUCAUAUUUUGCUUUAUACUCUUGUCGUUUAAGAUCAGGUGUGCUACAUAUAACCAAAACCAAAAAACAAAAACAAACCACACACAAAAAAAAUCAAAGAUAAAAGUGUUAUCUUUUAUAGAAAAGAAAUCUGUAGGUGGGUGGUAUCAGGUUCGUGUCUUUCUGCUCUACUCUCCUCAGUACACGGUUUUUAUCCUCAAGUUACUUCAUCCUUAUUAUACAAGAUUGCUUUCUGGAGCAAAGGCAAGCAUAGGAACUUUCUCUAGCUGAAUCAGUUUCCUCGAGGCAAUUUUCCCGGAGAACCACACAGCAUUUGAACUUAAUCUCAUUAGCCCAAACUGAGUUACAUGGCCAUCUCUAGCUGCUAGGGAAGCGGAGAAAUCCUUGUGGCAAUGUGACGAGCUAAAAGUUAGGAUUCUUUAACUAAAGAUGAGAAGAGGGAAUGUUUGGUAGGCAAGUUUUAAUUUAACCCAGACAGCCUUGUUGGCUACCAAAAUAUCUAAGUACACUCUUCUAAAACAUAGAAAACCCUUACUUCCCUGACCUUGAAGUGAAACCACCAAAAUUCAAUCCAUUAUUGCAUAUAGUUUAAAGCCAUGAUAUCUCCAGCCAUCUACAAACUAAAAAGCAACGUGUCUGCCCCAUGGAUACCAUAUGCAUAAUGGUGGAAUAGGUACAAGAUAACUGCAAUAAAAUCAGCCUUUUUGAAAAUGGGAAACAUAGCAGUCACUGACCCAUAGCAAGUUCUCUCUGCCCUGUCCAUAAAUAUAUUCCCUGGUUUUACCAUCACACAACUCCUGAUUCACCCUUUUGAGAGUAACUCCCUUAUCUAAUGUCCUCAGGGGCCCUUGGCGUUGCCCUUCAGGAAGUCUUUAUUGUCCACAAAGUUUUAAGGACACAUCUAAGUGGGCAUUGAAAAGGGUGUCCCUCUUGGAGGCUGGACAGUCUUAGCACUUCACUUCCUGUCAUUUUGGGUUUGGGGGCUCGGGGAUUGUUUUAGAUAGUUACAGGCUGUUGCAGGCCAAGUUUAGGGUUUUUGUUUUUGGCAAAACAGUUCCCUAAAAACUUAGUAAGUUUCUGAUCUUUUUUCUUCAGUUAUUAUCAUGAGUAACCACAAAGAUCUUGUCAAGACAUAGUUUUUAAGAAAGGACACAUCUUUACUUGCUGGCUUCUGUGUUCUCUCCCCUGGGAUUGUAAAUGAAUGGCAUCUACUUGGGACCGUUUUACACUGUAGGCUUGGAUGGGAUAACAGCAGUGUCCGAUCUUUUGCCUUAGGAUGGCUCCAAUUACUUGGCAGAAAAUUCCUAAGGGAAGUUUCUUGAAAAAGGUUAAGGAAGUUUUAGCAGCUUCUUCAGAACCUUUACGUAUGGAGUAUGGUAGUAGUUGACUUUUUCAAUUCUUCAGGGCCUCAGAUUUGGGACUUUGUUAAUUUAUUUUGUAGACAGAGCACAAUUCCUUCAACAAAGCUAUUUACCUUUCUAUCUCUGCAGACUUGUUAUCCUUAGCUUGAGUCCCAUCUGUCUUAUAGGACUUUGCUGAAAGAGGCAGAAGCAGCCCCACAUACUAGCAUUCUGAAGUUCUACCACCACUUUCUUUGAUACCCUAACUUCAGUUGGCAUGAGGUCUCAUGGCCCAAAGCCCUACCUCCUCAACUCAACCCACUUCAUAUAUUUAAGACCCUUUUAUUUGCUGCACCUUAACUUCCAGCUACCGAAUUUUGUAUAGGUCCAGAUUCUUGGUUGUAGGGAAUGGAAUCUCCUUUAGCUAUUAAACUGAAUGGGAUUGAUGAAGGGGUAUAGAGAACUCACAGAACCUUUGAGAGGGCUGAAGAAACAGAACCUAGGCUGAGCUUCUAGGAACUAUAUCACAAGAAGAGGUCUGCCAAAGAAGCUGCUGCUUUUGGAACAAUCAAGAAGCUGUCUGCCACUUUGGGAAGCUGCCUGCUGGAUUAGGAAGACAUGAACAGUUGCCAGCUCCAGAAACACACCACUGCUGCCACUGUUUUGUAUUGGCAAAAAUGGAUACCUUAUGUGCUGCCUCUCUCCCUGUGUAACUCGGUUCCAAGUGAAAGUCUCAAUACAAGCAAGGAGAAAUGGAAAAAGAGCCAGAGUUUGAUGACCAGUUUCAUCAUUUUCAUGCAAGAUUUUUAUCCCCUGAAGAACCUACUAGAGAAGUCCGUCAUCACCCUUAACCGCUGGUGCCUCUAACUUCACACUAAUUUAACUCACUUAUUUUUGUUGGAAUGGAGAGAUUAAGGUUAUUACAUAGAAAGCAAAGUUUACUUUUUAGUUCCUUGUGGUUGAUAAAAUGGAAGUCUGUAAUGACAACUUGUUUUAAAGGUGUGAGAUUUGAAGGAAAUUGGAUGUUUUCCUUUUUUUAAACACAGUAUUAUUAGCAGAGCUGCAAUCUCUCCUACUCACAUUAUAAUUUAUGUUUUAAAUGAGCAGUUAGCUAUGAAUUAGUAACCAUUUCUUAGAGAAUCUAAGAACUGAACCAGAACAAGCAGCUACACUCACAGCAAGUGGUAAAGACACCAAAUUGAAAAAUUAGGAUUUAUGGUUACCAGCAUGCCAACCUAUCUAUUCAGACAAAAGCAAAGCAAAAUAAAACCAACAAGACCUUUGAUUUAAUUUAGGAUUCAAAUUUAUGUUUAAAUAUGGCCUAUAGAACUAUGUAGAAAAACCAAUACAUUUCAUGUUUACAAAUGUCUAUAGUUUUCACGGCAGAGCUUUUAGUAUACAGUUUAAUUGAUGUCAGUCAUGUUCUUGAUUGUUGGCCAGCCCUUGACAGUAUACUUUACCUUACCCUCUUACCCUUCCUGUUGCCUUCAAAGCUCUGCAUGAUUGUACACAAGUUUUCUUUUGUUUAUAUUUGUAUAUAAUCUAUAGCAAGCAAUAGAUUUGACUUUUCCUGUGCAAAUUUUCUUACCCUCUUUUGUUUUAUCUUUAAGAAUAAGUAUAGUUUCCAAGACUUUCUAGGAUUAUGAAU